rnacentral:rRNA from 1 species
UCAGACGAUGCGUCAUGCAUAUCAAUAAGCGGAGGAAAAGAAACUAACAAGGAUUCCCUUAGUAACGGCGAGUGAAGCGGGAAGAGCUCAAAUUUGAAAUCUUCAAGGUUUUACCUUGAGCGAAUUGUAGUUUAAAGAAGUGUUUUCUGUUGAAGUUUUGGUAAAAGUUCUUUGGAAUAGGACAUCAUAGAGGGUGAGAAUCCCGUAUUUGACCAUUAUUUUCAGCUGUGUGAUACACUUUCAAAGAGUCGGAUUGUUUGGGAAUGCAGUCCAAAAUGGGUGGUAAAUUUCAUCUAAAGCUAAAUAUUGGCGAGAGACCGAUAGCGAACAAGUACCGUGAGGGAAAGAUGAAAAGAACUUUGAAAAGAGAGUUAAACAGUACGUGAAAUUGUCAAAAGGGAAGCGUUUGACACCAGUGUUGUUUUCUCGAAAAUCAAUUAAAAAGAGUUAGAUUUUGUUGUGUAUUGACCUUAACAGCUUGCAUUUCAAUUUUCUUGCUUUUUUUAAUGCACUUUUCGUUUAACAAGUCAACAUCAGUUUCUUUUGUUGUAAAAAGGGUCAUUGGAAGGUGGCUUUCUUUUCGGAGAAAGUGUUUAUAGCCUUUGACUCCUGCAAUCGGAGAGACUGAGGUCUGCAGCGUAGACUCUUCGGGGUUAGAUACAUUUGUGCUAAGUUAUAGCUUUUUAUAGACAACUUGUUGACUAUGAUUAGUCUUGUAGCUUACUCGCUUAUGCUAUUUUACCUACGCUUAGGAUGUUGAGUCGUAGAGCACGCAG